UCUCCGUAGGUGAACCUGCGGAGGGAUCAUUACCGAGUGAGGGUCCUUGUGGCCCGACCUCCAACCCCCUGUCUUCCGACUCUGUUGCCUCGGGGGCGACCCGGCCCUCUGGGCGUCGGGGCCCCCGGGGGCGAUGGAAACUCCUGUCUGCCUGCCGUCGGAGUGACUUGCAAAUCAGCAAAACUUUCAACAACGGAUCUCUUGGUUCUGGCAUCGAUGAAGAACGCAGC
rnacentral:misc_RNA from 1 species